UUUUAAAAAAUUAAUAAAAAUUAGUUUGGUAAAAAAUUUAUAAUAAUUAAAUUAAUAUAAAAGAUAAAAUGUUUUAGUAGUAUUAAGAAUAAAUUAUAUUAAUUAUAAAGAUAAGUAAUGAAAAUGAAAAUUAUAAAAAUUAAAAAAGAAAUUUAAUAAUUUACCUUUUGUAUCAGGGAUGAUUAAAUAUAUUUUAUUAAUAAAAUAAAAUUCUCGAAUUUUAAAGAUUGAAUUAAAAAUUUUAGUUAAUGUUGAAUAAUUAUUAAGAAUUUUUAAUUGGAAAUGAAAUAUUAAUCGUUUUAAAUGAUAUCUAGUUUUUUUAGAAAUGAAUUUAAUUCAGUUAGUAAAUGAGAAUAUUUAUAAUUAUAAGUAUAAAUAUUUAUAGUUUAUUAAUAAAUAUUUUUGGGAUAAUCUAAAAAUAAUAAUAAUAAUUUUAAAGUUAAUUAAAUUGGUCAAAUAAUAUUUAUAGUAAUAGAAAUUUUUAAUAAAUAUGUUAUAAUUUAUUAUUAGUAGUAAAAUGAUUUAAAUUUAAAAAUUUUGUAAUUAAAUAAAAAAAAUAAUUAUAAUAAAAAAUAAUUUAGGUAUAAUGAUUAUAUUAGUAGAAAAAAAAUGUUUAAAUGAUUAAAUUUAUGAAAAUUUAAUUAAAAGAAUUCGACAAAAAUUUUAUCCACCUGUUUAUCAAAAACAUCGCUUAUAGAUUAUAAUUAUAAGUCUAUUCUGCCCUAUGAAGUAAAAUUUGAAUGGCUGCGGUAUACUGACCGUACUAAGGUAGCAAAGUAAAUAGUUUUUUAAUUGGAAGCUGGUAUGAAAGAAUUGAUGAGAUAGAAAUUGUUUCUAAUUAAAAUAUUGAAUUUAGAUUUUGAGUAAAAAUACUUAAAUGAAUUUAUAAGACGAGAAGACCCUAUAGAAUUUUAUAAAAUUAUUUUAAUUUACGUUUAUUUGUAAUUAAAUCUAAUUAAGAUAUUAUAUUUGAUUGGGAGGAUUAUUAAAAUAAAAGAACUUUAAUAUUAUAGAGACAUUAAUUAAUGAAUAAAGGAUUAUUAUUAUAAUUAUAAGAAUAAAUUACCUUAGGGAUAACAGCGUAAUAUUUUUGGAGAGAUCAUAUUGAUAAAAAUGUUUGCGACCUCGAUGUUGAAUUAUGAUAAAAUUUAAAUGCAGGAGUUUAAAUAGUUAGUCUGUUCGACUAUUAAAAUCAUACAUGAUUUGAGUUCAAAUCGGCGUGAGCCAGAUUGGUUUCUAUCUAUAAAAAAAUAAUAUUUUAUUGUACGAAAGGACUUAAAAUAUAAAAAAGUUUUUUAAUAAAAAUUGAAUAAUAUUAAUUUAAGUUAUAUAAGAAAAUUUAGUUUAUAGUGAUAUUAUAAAUAUUAA
rnacentral:rRNA from 1 species